rnacentral:rRNA from 1 species
AUUGAACGCUGGCGGCAUGCCUUACACAUGCAAGUCGAACGGCAGCACGGGAGCUUGCUCCUGGUGGCGAGUGGCGAACGGGUGAGUAAUACAUCGGAACGUACCCUGAAGUGGGGGAUAACGUAGCGAAAGUUACGCUAAUACCGCAUAUUCUGUGAGCAGGAAAGAGGGGGAUCGCAAGACCUCUUGCUUUAGGAGCGGCCGAUGUCGGAUUAGCUAGUUGGUGAGGUAAAGGCUUACCAAGGCGACGAUCCGUAGCUGGUCUAGAGAGGAUGAUC